CUACGUGCCAGCAGCCGCGGUAAUACGUAGGGCGCGAGCGUUGUCCGGAAUUAUUGGGCGUAAAGAGCUUGUAGGCGGUUGGUCGCGUCUGCUGUGAAAGGCUGGGGCUUAACCCUGGUUUUGCAGUGGGUACGGGCUAACUAGAGUGCAGUAGGGGAGACUGGAAUUCCUGGUGUAGCGGUGGAAUGCGCAGAUAUCAGGAGGAACACCGAUGGCGAAAGCAGGUCUCUGGGCUGUAACUGACGCUGAGAAGCGAAAGCAUGGGGAGCGAACAGGAUUAGAUACCCUGGUAGUCCACGCUGUAAACGAUGUCGAUUUGGGGGUUGAGCUUUGAGCUUGGCGCCCGUAGCUAACGUGAUAAAUCGACCGCCUGGGGAGUACGGCCGCAAGGUUAAAACUCAAAUGAAUUGACGGGGGCCCGCACAAGCGGUGGAGCAUGUGGUUUAAUUCGAUGCAACGCGAAGAACCUUACCUACUCUUGACAUCCAGA
rnacentral:rRNA from 1 species